rnacentral:rRNA from 1 species
UGAGUGGCGGACGGGUGAGUAACACGUGGGUUAUCUGCCUCAAAGUGGGGUAUAACUACCCGAAAGGGUAGCUAAUCCCGCAUGUGGUCCGACUCGUGAAGAGUGGGAAGAAAGGCCCUUCGGGGUCGCUUUGAGAUGAGCCCGCGGCCGAUUAGCUAGUUGGUGGGGUAAAGGCCUACCAAGGCAACCAUCGGUAGCUGGUCUGAGAGGAUGAUCAGCCACACUGGGAUUGACAACGGCCCAGACUCCUACGGGAGGCAGCAGUAAGGAAUAUUGCACAAUGGGGGAAACCCUGAUGCAGCAACGCCGCGUGGGUGAAGAAGGCCUUCGGGUUGUAAAACCCUUUUCCGGGGGAUGAGGAAGGACAGUACCCCGGGAAUAAGCCUCGGCUAACUACGUGCCAGCAGCCGCGGUAAGACGUAGGAGGCAAGCGUUAUCCGGAUUUACUGGGCGUAAAGGGCAAGUAGGCGGUUGCCAAAGUUGGGCGUGACAUCUCCUGGCUUAACUAGGAGGGGCCGUCCAAUACUGGGUGACUUGAGGACAGAAGAGGGAAGUGGAACUCCCAAUGUAGCGGUGGAAUGCUCAGAUAUUGGGAAGAACACCAGUGGCGAAGGCGGCUUCCUGGUCUGAUCCUGACGCUGAGAGGCGAAAGCUAGGGUAGCAAACGGGCUUAGAUACCCCGGUAGUCCUAGCUGUAAACGGUGGAUACUGGGUAUCGGCGGAUAAUACCGUCGGUGCCGAAGCUAACGCGUUAAGUAUCCCGCCUGGGGACUACGACCGCAAGGUUAAAACUCAAAGGAAUUGACGGGGACCCGCACAAGCAGCGGAGCGUGUGGUUUAAUUCGAUGCUACACGAAGAACCUUACCUGGGCUUGACAUGCACGUCGUAGGGAACCGAAAGGGGACCGAUCCUUCGGGAAGCGUGCACAGGUGCUGCAUGGCUGUCGUCAGCUCGUGCCGUGAGGUGUUCGGUUAAGUCCGAUAACGAGCGCAACCCUCGUUGCUAGUUAUACUUCUCUAGCGAGACCGCUGGCAUAUAACCAGAGGAAGGCGGGGAUGACGUCAAGUCAGUAUGGCCUUUAUGUCCAGGGCUACACACACGCUACAAUGGCCGGUACAGAGGGUCGCGAAGCCGCGAGGCGGAGCCAAUCCCACAAAGCCGGUCUCAGUUCAGAUUGCAGGCUGCAACCCGCCUGCAUGAAGUUGGAGUUGCUAGUAACCGCAGGUCAGCAAUACUGCGGUGAAUACGUUCCCGGGUCUUGUACACACCGCCCGUCACGUCAUGGGAGCUGGCAACACCUGAAGUCGGCGAGCUAUCCGAGAGGAGGCAGCCGCCUAAGGUGGGG